AUACUUAUUUAUGUUUAUCUAGUUAUAUUACAAAAUACAACAUCAUUGAAGAUUAGCAUUGCCUCUGCUUAAGGAUGAGACUCAAAAUCGUGAAGCGUUCCAUAUUUUU
rnacentral:snRNA from 1 species